rnacentral:snoRNA from 3 species
UUGGCCCUGAAUCAAGGCCAACAGUUUGCCGAAGCUGUUGGUUUCAAGCAGGAGCCUAAAGAAAUGUCUUUCUAUGGUCUGUUGGCCAUUUCAGAACUUUGGAAAUGUAAUGGUCAAUUCAUUAGAAAGAAACAUCU